UGAGGAAUAUUGGUCAAUGGGCGAGAGCCUGAACCAGCCAAGUAGCGUGCAGGAUGACGGCCCUAUGGGUUGUAAACUGCUUUUAUAUGGGAAUAAAGUGAGGGACGUGUCCCUUAUUGCAUGUACCAUACGAAUAAGGACCGGCUAAUUCCGUGCCAGCAGCCGCGGUAAUACGGAAGGUCCAGGCGUUAUCCGGAUUUAUUGGGUUUAAAGGGAGCGUAGGCUGUUUGUUAAGCGUGUUGUGAAAUGUAAGAGCUCAACUUUCAGAUUGCAGCGCGAACUGGCAGACUUGAGUGCGCACAACGUAGGCGGAAUUCAUGGUGUAGCGGUGAAAUGCUUAGAUAUCAUGACGAACUCCGAUUGCGAAGGCAGCUUACGGGAGCGCAACUGACGCUAAAGCUCGAAGGUGCGGGUAUCGAACAGG
rnacentral:rRNA from 1 species